GAGGGAGGCGCUCGGCGGACUGGACAGCCGCCUCUUCGGGUUCGUGAGGUUUCAUGAAGAUGGCGCCAGGACGAAGGCCCUACUGGGCAAGGCUGUUCGCUGCUAUGAAUCUCUAAUCUUAAAAGCUGAAGGAAAAGUGGAGUCUGAUUUCUUUUGUCAAUUAGGUCACUUCAACCUCUUAUUGGAAGAUUAUCCAAAAGAAUGCUGCCUUUUUAUAUGGUCUUGGUUUGGUCUACUUCCAUUAUAAUGCAUUUCAGUGGGCAAUUAAAGCAUUUCAGGAGGUGCUUUAUGUUGAUCCCAGCUUUUGUCGAGCCAAGGAAAUUCAUUUACGACUUGGGCUUAUGUUCAAAGUGAACACAGACUAUGAGUCUAGUUUAAAGAGGAAAUAUCAUUCUGCAAAAGAAGCUUAUGAACAACUUUUGCAGACAGAGAAUCUUUCUGCACAAGUAAAAGCAACUGUCUUACAACAGCUAGGUUGGAUGCAUCACACUGUAGAUCUUCUGGGAGAUAAAGCCACCAAGGAAAGCUAUGCUAUUCAGUAUCUCCAAAAGUCCUUGGAAGCAGAUCCUAAUUCUGGCCAGUCCUGGUAUUUCCUCGGAAGGUGCUAUUCAAGUAUUGGGAAAGUUCAGGAUGCCUUUAUAU
rnacentral:sRNA from 1 species